UACGUAGGGUGCGAGCGUUGUCCGGAAUUACUGGGCGUAAAGGGCUCGUAGGUGGCCAACUAAGUCAGACGUGAAAUCCCUCGGCUUAACCGGGGGACUGCGUCUGAUACUGGAUGGCUAGAGUUUGGGAGAGGGAUGCGGAAUUCCAGGUGUAGCGGUGAAAUGCGUAGAUAUCUGGAGGAACACCGGUGGCGAAGGCGGCAUCCUGGACCAACACUGACGCUGAGGAGCGAAAGCCAGGGGAGCAAACGGG
rnacentral:rRNA from 1 species